rnacentral:lncRNA from 1 species
UAAACUACGAUGUUCAUGUUUGCUUCUUGUUUUUGUUUCAAGUUUAUAGGUGAGGGCCGGUUUUUAUAUCUCUGAGCCCCACAGAACUUGCUGUUUGUUUAUUGCUGAAGAAGCUGAACUCGUCCCAUUAGAAGAUCUCCCAAGAGUCCAAAGAAAUCACACCUUGAUUCCAGCUGACCCACACCUCAUGGAGACCACCCCCCGCCACUGGCUGGAGCUGAGAAGAGUGAGAGGAAGGCGGGGAAGAGGAGAUGGCAAUGGCGGGUGGAGCCUGGCUGCCUGCUGUAUGGGACAACAGAUGGAGCAGAGAACUGACCCUGCCUCGCUGGCUUCCUCCCUCAGGCCUGGUAACCGGGAGGCCUUGCUUACCAGAAAGGAGCUCUGGGGAGGAAGAGGACCAUCCGGGACAUCAACCUAAAGCUAGGUUUUCUGGGCUAGGGGCUGGUUUUGUGAUACUCUCAUGUGUGCCAAUAGCUCCCUGGAAUUUUGGGAAGAUGAUGCAAAGAUGGGACUCAGGAAUUUUCCAGCAUAAUCCACUUUGAUGUACUAGUGGGUCACUCUAGAUCUCACUAUGGUUGCUUUAUUUAUGGUUUCGAAUGAACUCUGCUGUUUGUUGGCAUGCCUUUAGGUCUGCAUGACAGCAGACUCACCCUGUGCAUAGCUUUUUAUAUAGUUUAAUAUUAUUACAGUCUUUCUGGGUUGACUUUUUCUAAAACAACCUGGAUCAUUAAGGUGGUCAAAUGACUACUUUUUUCUGAGCUGGGUACACACAAAAAAUGGUAGCGGUUUUUGAGGCAAGAACUUGGCCUUUGGGGUUAGAAAGAGACCUGAGUUUAGAUACUUGCUGUGCUAGUCACUAGCUAUGUGGGCUUCAACAAGCAACUGAACUUCCCUGAGCCCCCAGCAAGUGGUAGUUCCUUUCCCUACCCUCAGGGUUCUGCUCUGGGUGCUGUGGUAAUGAGAAUAAGGUAUUAUUAAUGAUGGCAAGAGCUACCAUUAAAUGUUUACUAUGUGCCAGUCACUCUAAGCACAUUGCCCCUUUUGGUGACUGUAAGGUAUGAAUAUAGGUAUAUUAAUAUACAUUAAUAUAUAUUAAUAGUUUUUUAAAUAUUCUAUUCAUUUAUUCAUGAGAGACACACACAGAGAGAAGCAGG